rnacentral:lncRNA from 1 species
ACUCCGCACCGGCCAAUGGCACCGCCCCGUCCGCCCCGCUCUGGGAACGCCGCUCCAGCAGAUGUGACAUAGACUGGAAGUGAUGGACCCAGACAACAAUCAGAACCAAAGCACCAGAUGAGCCACCUCAGCCACGUGAGCCAUGCCAGCCACCCUACCUGUGACCCCAUCUGUGGCCCCAGUUAUCAUGGAGUAGAGCCCUUUCUCUGUCUACAAAACCAACUUCCUCGCCCAGCUCAUGGGAACACUUAUUCUGUUGUAUAGAAUGAAGUGUUGCUUGAUUCUAGAAUCGUAAAGAAAGAGCAAGAGCAGGCAGGAGGGCAAGACGACAGCAAGAGAACAAGAAAGAAACCUGAAGAAAAGAAGUUUUAGUGAAGAUGGAAAGGCUUAAAACAUACCAUGGAGAAUGACCUCAGCCUUCUGUGUGGAGGAUUUGCACUUGGAGAUAAGGAAAGAGAGGGACUUCAGAGAGUUAAGCAGUUCAGUUUCCUUUGCAUUUCUUACAUCUGAGCAGGUGACCGGAGUGAACACUCUGGAAGCCACAGUGGAGUCCUCUGCUUGGGGCCUCUUUCUGGAAACCAGAUCAAUUCACUGAAAAACAAUUUGCAAAUGACUAGUUCAUUGAGAAGCAAGUGACCAAAACUCUAAGUCACCGAAUGACCUGCUCAUUGAUUUAUUGAAGAUUUUAUUCCAAGGUCUACUUCCCUCUGCAUUUGUGGCUGCCAUUUCAUAUGUGAAUGGGUGGGCAGUUUGCUGUCAUGCCCUUUUUGUGCAUCUCUAUCCUGACCCUGUAUGUGGUGCUGCCUUUUCCCAGGCCCCCUGCCCCUGCCCUGGCCUCUGUCUGCAAAGCAGUUGCAGCAACCUCCCUCUUGCUGUUGAAGAUACUCAUCUGAUGUCUAUUGUGAAUUGGCUGGAGCCCUUCUACAGGUUUGUUAGCGUCCCUCUGCAUCCAGGCUGAUGGUGCCUGCCAUGCUUCUACAUGCUGUUCUCUGCCACCCACCUGAGCCCAGCUAGAGUCAGUGGGGAAGUGGAGGAGCCACAUCAAAACAGUGUGUCCACCUCAGUCACCCUCCAGUGUGCAUUGACGACCAGGCAGCCAUUAGACCCAAAUGCAGCCCCACAGCAUAGAGGCAAAUGGAAAGGCCACAUAUCCUCUUUUCAUUCUCCUUCCAUGUGAGGCCCUGCAGAGCCUGGCAUCUGUCUUCAUCAUCGUGGCAUCCUCAGACUCUUUCUUCUUCCUGGAGCGAGCUGUGCUCUCUGAAGCCACUGCCUGUGUGGGAAGUACCCCAGCAUUUCUUCGCUGUUGCCAGGCAUCCCUUCCUGUCCUACCACUUCAAAUGCAUCUUUUCAUGUGUCCUUCCUGAGCACCUCUAGCAGCUGCAUGUUCCUGUUUCAGCCUCUGCCUUUCCACAGCUCCUCCAAGAUUCCUCUAUUGCAGAGCACAGCACCACCUUGCAGGAAACCUCCCAGAGGACUGUGAGGACCAUGAAGCAAGGGGCUGCAUCUUAUUCUCCUUGGUGUCUGGCCCAGCAGUGGGCCCAGGCCAGAUGCCAUUAAGAACAUUCAUGAUUCAUGAGAGGAGAUCAAAAUAUCAACAUAAACAGGAGUUUGAAAGAAGUUGAUUUCAACCCUUGUGGAUGACUAUGAGAGAUUCAAGGCUUCAGUGGAGAAUGCACCUACAGAUAUGGUGGAAACAGCAAAAGAAAUAGAAUCAGAAGUGGAGCCUGAAGAUUAAACUGAAUUGCUGCAAUCUCAUGAUAAAACUUGAACAGAUGAGGAGUUGCUUCUUACAGGUGAGUAAAGAAAGUGCUUUCUUGAGAUGGGAUCUAUUUCAGGUGAAAGUGCUGUGAACAUUGUGAAAUGACAACAAAGGAUGAAUAAUUUUAUAUAAAUGUAGAUUACAAUAAAGUAGUGGGAGUGCUUGAGGGGAUUGACUCCAAUUUUGAAAGAUGUUCUAAUGUGGGUAAAAUACUAUCAAACAGCAUCACAUGCUACAGGGAAAUCUUUCAUGAAAGAGUCAAUGGAUGUAGUAAACCUCAUUGUUGUCUUAUUUUAUGAAAUUGCCAUGGCCACCCCAACCUUCAGCAACCACUGCCCUGAUUAAUCAACAGCCGUCAACAUGUCAACAUCAAGCCUAGACCCUCCACCAGAAAAAGAUUACAAGUCUCCGAAGGCUCGGAUAAUCAUUAGUAUUUCUCAGCAAUGAAGUAUUUUUGAAUUAGGGUCUGUGGAUCAACACUGUCUCCCUGGCCUCUACCCAGCGCGCAGGACCCCUUAGCAGAGCAGGAGAACUCAGGGUCCCCACAGGCCCUCCCCUCCCCUCUGCAUUUUCCAGGAUCCAGCCAGCUGCCGGCACACUUUCGUCCUCCUCCGCACACGAGGAUCCCCAGGCCCAGCGGUGUUAGCCCAGAGAGGAGCGGCGUUUGGGAUGUGAUCCACAGCUGAUCCCUCGUGGCCCCUCCUCUCCCGAAUCCUGAAACAUGAGGAGGCCCUUCAGCUGCUGGCUCGGAGUCCGACUAUGGGAACUUUCUCCGGUCUACGGGGGCAGCAAGGGUCUCGCCUCAGGGACUUGGUUUAUUUAUCUAGCUGGACUCCAUCCCUUAAUAUCCUACUUACAGAGGAAGAGGCUUUAGCAGCUAAAUGCAGCCCCAUCCCCUCCUGUGGAGACUGUGAGCAGAAAAAGAACAGAUAUUUACAGAGGCCCGAGCCCCCCUUGUUGUUUUCUGCAAGGCUGUCGAGCUGGUGGAGCUUCAGGAUCCUGGUCAGGAACCCCGAACCCAGCGCUGGAGGCCCUGAAGAUCAGGGCACCCGACCCUCUUCCCAGCCGCCAAAGGCCUGUGUUGGUCUGAUUGUGGAUUCCAAGCUCUAAUUUCCAUCCAUCCUCCCAAUCCGAAUUCCCUUUGCAGACAUAAACACCAUCAGCAAUGUAGAGAAUGUGUUUCCUCAUCUUUGAAUAUUAACACUCAUCUGUUUAAUUGAGCUACUUUUUACAUACAUGUAAGAUGUGCUGCAAUUGCAAAAGAAACAUGUGCUUCGUGUUCUAUAAGCCAUAUCUUCCGCAAGACCUGCCAUCAAAUGAUUGCUCAAACAUUUGUUGAAUGGGAUGAGCAAUGGAGGUUCAGACAGGUGCCCUGACCUACCCAGGCUGGAGGGUAGGGAGCUAGAAAUUCAUACAACCAUGCCUUGUUCUACUUGUUUUGUGAAAGAAUCAUGUGACCAGUGACAAAGAGGCUGGGCAGCUGGGUCAGGCAGCAGGGACAGCGACUGAGCUGGGGGGACUACAGUGCUGUGCUCCUCUGCACCCGUGCUGGGAUGUCUGAGGCCAAGCUGACACUGGCCCCCCACAAUCCCUUGGGGCUGCUCCUCCUCAGGGAGUGGCUCUCCGGGUUUCCUGCUUGACUCCUGCUGCUCUUGUGUUGAAGGGCCGUCUCUGGGCAGCUCCCCCUGGCCCCUGGCCAGAGAGCCAGGCCCUGUCAGGCACGCACAUGGAGGAUGAGGGAGGUGCAGUUGUUUUCACAGGUGCAGACUCUAGAGGGACCCCACGUGGACUCUGUGGCUUCUGCCCCGACGCACUCGCGGGAGGACACAGCUCUGCCCGGAAGGGAGAGUGCUGAGCUGGGUCCCUGCUGCUCAUCUCUGUGGCAUCACCCUGUCAGUCCUUCCCUGUCACACAUAUGUUCCGCAAGACCUGCCGUCAAAUAUUUGCUCAGUCAAACAUUUGUUGAAUGGGAUGAGCCAUGGAGGUUCAGACAGAUGCCGUGACCUGAAGUGUCAAAUGAAGGGAUGCGUGUGUGAUGGCCUUCACCAUUUAUAUUGUUUUAAACUUGCUAAGCACUAGUUAAAAUAAAAAAGCCAACACUUUUCUUUACAUUUUUACUCUCUCUCUUUCUAACAUAUAGUAUGUAAAAAGAAAAAUCUUGGCUAUUCCAAUAGAGGAAGUGGCUGUGUUUUGUUUUGCUAUUUAUUUAUUUAUUAAUUUAUUUUUUCUCCUCACUGUAUUAGUCUGCUUGGGCUGCCAUAGCAAAGUACCACGGACUGGGUGGCUUAAACAACAGAAACUCAUUUUCUCACGGUCCUGAAGUCCAAGAACAAAGUGUCAGCAGGGUUGGUUUCUGGUGAGGACUCUUCCGAACUUGCAAUGGCUGCCUUCUCACUGUGUCCUCAUGUGGAUUUUUCCUUGUGUGUGUGUACUUCUCAUGUGCUUUCCUUUUCCUAUAGGAUAGCAGUCCUGUUGGAUCAGGGCCUCACCCUUGUGACUGCAUUUAACCUUAUUUACUUCCUUAAAGGCCCUGCCUCUAAAUCCUGUCAUACUGGGGAUUAUGGCUUCAACACUUAGAUUUUGGGGGAGACACAGCUCAGUCCAUAGCACUGCCCAAUGGGCAAAGCUUGGCCAGCCUCCAUGUCUGUGGGGCUUCUCUUUCCUGCGAGGGCCUGGUCUCCUAGAGAAGCCCCAGUCUUCCCUGUUCCUGGUUGUCCCCAUCCUUCCUCCUCUCAGGGGAGGAGGCCAGACCUUCUCCUUGGACUCAGUGCUUGACCAGCUACUCCCUCCACAAGGUGCAGGCAGGAGGAGUUGAGUGUUAGUAGCUCAGCCCAAGAUGUCUCCUGGGGUUGGCUCUCACUGAUCCAUGCCAGGGGAGCUGAUCAAGCACCUGGAAGUCUCUAAGGGCAGCUCCCUCCUCUGGCCCUGCUCUCCUCUUUUGUCUCCCUGCAGUGGGUGCAGUCUGAGGGCCCUGGUGGUGCAUUUGCACCAAGGAGAGAGAGGCCACUUCUGCCUGACACAUAUAUCUUCUCUCCUCCCUUGUCUAGGGUUAGGAACUGUCAGAGUGUGGCUCAACUGAGAAACAACUUUCUGAGUAGAGGUGGGGAAAGAUGGGCUAAGAGGCUUCUGAGGUCAUGUGUUCACCAUCACUGAGGCACUGUGAUGUGUUAGGUGGGUCUGAACCCUCUGGCUUCAGAGAGAGUGCCUGUGGGGCACCAGGUAAUCCGAGACUGCAGCUCAGAGAUUACUCCAGCAAAGGGUCAGGUAUCCACACUGCCUCUGCUACCUGCCCGUUGGUCACUCACUCAUUGUUCUGAUGAUAAGAUCGACAGAUCACAAGAAGGGUGAGUACAGUACAGUAAGAUAUUUUGAGAGACCACAUUCACAUAACUUUCAUGAGUAUAUUGUUAUAAUUAUUCUGCUUUACUAUUAUUGUUAAUCUCUUACUGUGCCAAAUUUGUACAUUAAAUUUUAUCAUAGGUGUGUAUGUACAGGAAAAAGCAGUAUAUAGGGUUUGGUGCUAUCCAAGGUUUCAGGCAUCUGCUGGGGGUCUUGGAACAAAUCUCCUGGGGAUAAGGAGGGGGUACUGUACACUGUAGAAUUUUAUAAAAUUUUUAUUUAUUAUUUAUUGUUUUUGGUAGAAACAAUGUCUCCAUAUCUUUGUCUGUUUUCUAUUUCUAGCUAUACAAUCAAGUUUGUUAGUUUUAUUAUUUACACCCUCGGUCUUUUGUGCUCUUGCUUCUUUCAAUUUCUGACAUGUUUGUUAAAAUCCCAUCCAGUUUUUGGAGGGAGAUAAAUACUUGCACAUCUCUUUUGGGUUCUUAGUCCACUGGGAGCACAGCUGGAUGAGUCCUAAGAACAGAGGUGGUUUUAUUAUGGAAAAGUAGUCUUGUGCUUAAGGGAAAAAUGGAAUUUCCUUUUCCUUUUCCUUCUUCCCCAAAUUGGAGAUUCUUGGUCCUGCAGACUGGAUGACUAAGGUGCUCAACCAGCCAAAGCCUGGGAGUGAGGAGCAUGAGAAGAGCACCAGCUUGGCCUCCCAGAGGCAGCAAUGUGCCCAGCCCUGCAAUGACAAAGCACAGGCAGGUCCUGGAAGCUGCAGGAGAAAGUAGAACAUGCCCUCCCUGCUCACCUUUUAAUGUGGGGAACUCAGUAACGUGGUCACGAGAAUCCAAUAGAAGUCACCUUCCCUGUGUUUUCCGGGUCAGAGAAUUCCCUUCUGGAUAGAGACCUGCACGUGAGGGAGUCUCCAGCCAAUGGCUGGAGUGGUGUGCUUACCUCUCUAGAAAUGUGAGAAGCAGGCGAUUAGCAGGCCUCUGUGACAACUCUGAUACUGUUGUCUUUCUUAAUUUCAAUCCUGUAUGUGUUUGUGUGUAAGAUUUUUGUAUUAACAAUACAUUUAAGUUGACAUAAUUUGCCUUUUGAAGGGAAAACUUAGCCCAGUAAUAGUUAUUAUAAUCAGUGAUAUAUUUGGAAUUAUUUAUACAAUCGCUCUAAUUUUUUGACUUCUAUUUAAUAGACUUUAUAUCAAGAAAGAAGCAGUAUAAUAGUUAAGGGUGGGGGUUUUGCAUUCAAAUUCUAGUUCUUAAAGUUACUAGAAAGGCCAUCAUAAGAAAACCGCUUAAUCUUUCUGCAUCUAAGGCUUUUUGUCUUUAAGAUGCACAACUCAUAGGAUAGUGAAAGAAUUCUUUGAUAUUUAUAAAGUGUUCAGAAUAGUGCAUGGCACCAAGUAAAUGCACCAUCAGCUAUUACUGUUUACUUUCUUCCCAAAUUUUUCCAUUUAUUAAAUUUCUGUUGGUUCUUUUUUCUGAUUGGUUUGAUUUGAAAUUUAUACCUCUACUAAGGCUGUCCUCAGAGUUUUAAUUAAUAUAUAUUUGUUUUAUAUUAAAUGAGUUUUUUGUUUAAUUAAAAAUAAUUUCAAGGCACUGAGAUUUAUGGUUAAAGUUGCUUUGAAUACUACUGAAAACAUAAACCAAAACUAGUAGAGAAUGGAGAGGGAGAAAAUGAACAUCUUAAAUGAAACAACAGUUUGCCACAACUUCAAAGCAGAAAUGAUGUAAAACGUUCACUAAAUACCAUGUCUUUCGACCAACAUGAAAUGAAUGAGUAUCAUCCAUGCCCAGAGACCACAUACACCUCCUGGGAACACAGUAAGUACCCCAAACCUCCCAAUUGUUGCUGUGACCACCCAGAAGUUGCUUUCAAUGAACCCUAGACUAGACAUGGUCUAAUCCUUGGAUGGUUUAAUGAUGGAACCACUUGGCCGCAGGUGACCCCACUCAUCUGUACAGACACUUUAACAUCUGUGGAAUCCUGCAUGAGGUCAAGGCUACUUUGUGUCCGUUGUUGAUGCAUUUGCUAGUACAAUCCUAGUGCUCCACUUUACUGACUUCCUUUAUGUGAUGAAAGAAAAACCACCACAUUGCCUCCCUUUCUGAGAGUUCACUGAGGCAGAAAUAGCCCCAGUUGAGAUGUGUUUGUAAGGAAUAAAUUUAAUGCAUUGUCUUGGCAGGAAGCAUUUUCUUGGUGCCACUUUCCUAGGUGGGGUUUCUUCUUGCAGACUGUGGCUUGAAGUUCCAGAGCAGAGAUGCACAUUACUGUCUACCGCUGAAGUGAACUGCUGCCCCUCUGGAGUCUGGAUAUCAUCAGAAUGAAAAAGCGAGUGUCAUGGGCAAAGCGAGGAGUCCAGCAGGAUGGACGCUGUGUGGUUUCUCAGCUGGAGCGCAGCAGGAGCAAGCGUGGAAACAUCCUUCUUUUCUCUUCUCCCCUCCCCUCCCCAAGUGCAAAUGGAACCUGUGAAAUAUGGCUUGAUUUUGAGGCUUCUAAUUCUUCAUUGCACUCCCAGACCCUUCUUUUAUCUCUGGUGGCAGCCCUGAGAAUAAAUCUCUUGGUCACAUUCUUCAAUCAGUUUCUCCCAGAGAAAAGGUUAGGCUGCAAGGAUGAUAGGAACCAGACUUCAAAUGGGUUUCCAGGAGCUGAGGGAAGGAAAGGUUUUUCCUACAGUUUCUCCAGCCAAGGGAUUAAGAAAAGGAUGGGGUCAUAGAGCAACAGCAGUAGAAGGUGGCAUUCCAAGACUUUCUCCAGGACUCCACCUAAGGUCAGUUUCUCGUCACUCAUACCUGUUUGUCUUUUGCCUGGCCACCAUCAAUGUAGAGUUAAGAACCAGGAGGCAGGAACAUGCUCCCCAAGUCACAGUCUGCCUCCCACAUACUGCAGUUUGAUUACAGCAUCCUGCCUCUCCACAGGAGGAAAGUGGUGUCAUUCUCCAGAACCAGGUGUGGAUUGUGAUCAGACCUAGAAUUGGCUAGGUAAAAAGCUUAAGAGAGAGAUUCCAUGUCCUGCAACACUGUCCACAAUUCAAAUCUGUAUUCAAAAUAAAACUAAAAGCAGAGAAAAUCCACAGCAGACCUACCACUCUCCAGGCAGAUAGUGCCCUCUCCACAAUCUGCAGCCAUCAACUGCCUCUGCUGGACGCUGCCCAGAGAGAGACCUGCUGCUGCAGAGCAGCUCUGUGUCAGCCACUGCGGCCUUAGAGAGAGCUGCAGGAAAUGGGACUUCUCACGUGCUCUCCACAGUGGAACCACAGGUCAGCAGCUGAAUGGAGCCUCUACCCUCUGGAUGCCUUUCUUGUCACUUAGUAUUCUUUUUUUUCUCAUUCUGGUACUUUAUCUGCUGGAAACUUUCAAAUGUAUUACUAAUGUCCUUCCAAACAGACUCCACAUGGGAAUUUUCAUGAUAUCUUGGCUAUAUUUACACAAAGAUUAGCUUGCAGGAAACACAAAAUAAGUAUGCAUAAAUAAAUGAGUGGCUCAGCACACCAGAAUUGUGUGUCCAGCUCCAUCAUUGACUGUUCCAUCAAAGAGAUUGCCCGAAUUCCUCUUUUGAGGAGAAUGACAACACUUGACUGCGUAUUCAGACUCUUCUGAGGCUCCUCAAAUAUACACACUCAUUGAAUAGAGCAAGGCCUGAAUCCUGGCUUAAAAAUUCACUAAUGGAAUUUUAAGGCCUUCCUAAGGUAGUAGACUAGAAAGAAAUUCAGUUUUCCCCAAAUUUACUGCUUCAGUUUAUGCCGAGCA